UUAUAGCGGAAGCUUAAAAGAAUUUCUGAAAAAGUGCCUGUGAGUUUGUUAAUAAAUUUUUGAUGGAAAUUCCGAACGAAUUUAUAGCCGCGUUUAACAACAAUUUAUUUUUAGCAAUGCUCUUUAGAUUCUGUCAGGGCUAUUCCACGAAUUUCUUCUGCAAUUACUUCAACAAAUCUUGGUACCUUUCCAGGACGUUUGUCAUAAAUUAUAUGUCUCAUUAGGGGAAAAACCAUUCCAGAACUUUGAAAGUCUCUAUAAUAAAGAUAAAUCAAUCAAUCAAUUCCAGAGCUUAACCUUAUUUUUCCAAAGAAAUUCAGUCCGAAAUUCUUCAUGAGAUUCAUACCAUACAAUGUUCGGUGGUAGAAGUGUUAAUUAUAAUGGUAAAAGCUUUAUUUAUUUGCGAAUCAUAAUGGAAAACAAAAAUAAAAAUACAAUUAAAUCCUUUGAGCAUUCACUAAAAUGCGAGAUUUUAAGAUCGUUUGCGCUGGCUCAAGCCAACGCGGAUUAGAAACCGUCUAAGCAGAAUACCCUCUUCGAUUGAGUGAAAUGAGUUUUUGAUACAUUUUACUGUGACGUUACAACGUCUAGACGCCUUUUCUGUCAGAAUUUCCACUAUAACUCGUAAAUUCGACCGAAAACCCUCAAAUAUUUAUACAUAUUCGAAUUCCUUGUAAAAUUUCCAAUAAGUAUGAUCUGUUGAACAGUAAGUUUUCAUUGGGAAAGUAUGUUAAAAAUGGGAAUGAGUGGCGUGGCGUUACAACGUUGUAACGUUACGGUACUAAUUCCCAUUUUAACAUACUUUUCCAAAGAAAACUAGCUGUUUAACAGAUUAAACUUAUUGGAAAUUUUACAAGGAUUCCGAAUAUGCAAAAAUAUUUGAAGGUUUACGGUCGAAUUUACGAGUUAUAGUUGAAAAUCUGACAGAAAAGGUGUCAAAACGUUGUAACGUCACGGUAGAAUGUGUCUUUUGAAGCUUAUAGUUUCGCUCUCUAAUGGUUAUUUUUUGACAAAUAUGUGUAUUUCGAAUACCCGGGAUUUCAAAAUACGUAUAUCUGUUAAAAUUAGAGUGAAACUAUAAAGUAGAAAAGCUUAUUUCACUCAAAAUAUUUAAAACUAUAAUGAUAUUUAAAAUGGACUUACCUGUACUGUGAUGCUGCUUUCACUAUUAAUAAACAAAAUGGCAUUCACUGAGUUCACCGAAAACAUGAAUACACACUGAGUCCUUGAAAAUCCACUAUGGGUAUACAUAAACUGUGGUAAAAGAUCACAAUUAUGGCAGAUGAGUGAUGUUGAGCUCCCAUACAAAACUUUUAGGGUGAUAUAGCUCAAAAUGCCAUAUUUCAUACUUACUACGAUUUCCCUCUUACAACAACGUCAAUGUUUAAUAAAAGGGAUAAGAGAAACACUUUCAAAACUUAUGCAUUUUUUUUAUUUUUUUUAAAUGUGUUCAAAAUGUGGUUCGUUAAUCCUUCAUGGUGUAGCUUAUGCCUUAUGCACAAUAAAAUCCAAGCACUCAUACAUUCACUUAAAUAUAUGGUGCCAUUUAUUUUUAGCUGACUCAAUGAUCACCCAAACGUGUUGAAGGAUUGCAUGGGAUUUCGUGAAAAAAGAAUCUUAUUACUCAAAUUGUGCGUAUUUCAUAACAAAAAAUAUUCGCUUUAAUUUUAUCACUUUUAAUAAAUUUCAGUCCAUUCAAAUGACACUUGCGGACCAAUACCUUAGUGAUGAACUUCACGAAAUAUGAGAACAGUUAAUUAAAAACAUUUUACUAAAAAUCAAAAUCUGAACACGUUUGAUACAUUUUCGAAACGUUACAACUUAAAUAUUUACUUAUAAGAAAUGUUUACCUAUCCCAAUUGCAAAAUUUACAAUCACAGAAUAGGAACUUGGAUUCUAAAACAUGAAAUGUUAAAUAAUUUGAGUAUUAUGGCAUCAACAACCAAGCGUCUCUAUCUUCCAUACAAACUCAUCACACCCCAUAUGGUCCCAUAUUCAACAACAGUAACCAGUAACAACGAAAUUCUAAUUAUCGAUAUAACAAAAACAUAAACGAUAUAUUUAUCUAAAAUUAGAUUUUGACUUAAUUUUAUUGAAUUUUGAUUAUGGUUCUCGCAAUGAAAUUCAAAUGCUACAAACCGAUGAGUCUUUAUUAUUUUUUUUUCUAUGAGUGAUGUCUCACAAAUGUAUAACAAUAUGCUACUUUACCAAAAAGCCUUCAUUUUUAUCAAAAGUAAAAUAAUUUGUCAUAAAACAGUGUUUAAAUCAUCAUGAUGGAAAACAAUAAGAUUUUCGAUUCAAGUCCAAACCAAGAAAGUAUGAAGAGCUACUCAAAAUAGGUUAUUUUAAAUGAGUUUCGUAAAAAAAAAUGAUUUGUCAAUUACACACUGAUUUACUUAUUUUACUAGUGUAAGACCUCGAGGUGUAUAUGUGCAAAAUAUACCCCUGUAAUGUUUUCACCAAUACGCACUCAAAUUCAUUACCCAAAUAAAUUCACAUGUGCAAACGUAUUAGAGAAUCUAUUACAUACGUCACUCAAUUUUUCAUGCUUCAGAGGCUUAACACUCAUCCAUUGUUCAUCCAUUCCUCAUAUUGUGUGUGGUGCUUCAAUUAAAUCAAAAUGGAAAACGACAUCGAAAUGGUAAGUUUAUUUUAUAAUUUUAACUUAAAUAGACAUCUUUAACACAACACAUCAUCUUACAUUACAACCUAUAGUAUAUGAACCUGUAAAAAUACACAUAUGUUAUUUGUGUCAUGCAAAUCACUCGUCUUAUAAUACAGUAAUUCCUCCAUGUGGGAUGUAGCUUCGUUCCACGAAGGAGAAAGUAAGUCCCUUGUUAGUCUCGAAUAAAACGCACACAAUACACUCCUCUAAAUGUGAACAACCUAUAAGUAGAUAGUUUAUGACACCGUAUUGUAAGAAAUCGGACAUACAAUUGCUUCUUUAAUCCUCGAGCAGUCGCGUCUUCGACCACCCUCAGCGACACCACGUUCAUGCUGUUAUUUUCAUGGUUACAAGCGUGUUAUUUUCAUGGUGCGUGUACUCUGUACACGAUGCAAUCGCUGUACGCGGGUGAACGGUAUUGAGAUAAUUUCAUGCCCGGGAGCAUAUUUAAAAAUCAAUUUGAAGGUGAUUUCAAAAAAUCUUAUUUUAAAUUAAUUUUGAGUAUCAAAAUAAAGUUCUAAAAAUCUAAAAAAAAAGUCACAGUGGCUCAGAAAAGAAGGGCUCUUUCGUGCAAAAUUAAAAAUCCAAAUAAUUUUCUUUAACUUAAAAACCCAAUUGUUAUUUGUACAACAGGUUUAAUUUUUAGGAUUGAGUAUUGCACAAAUUGUAUGCAAUUUUUUUUGUAAUUUCGAAUACCAUUCAGAUUCGGAUUCGAUCUAGUCAGUGGCUGUAGAAGCAGCAGCUGAAUCUGUGGAAGACAUACUGCCGAUCUUCUGCAAAGGAACGUGAGUAACAAUGUUGGCACAUGUCUGGUUUUAUCCAUCAAACUCUUGAUCGUUCGCUAUGUUAUCUUCCAUAGAUGCUAGAUUUACCAAUAGAUCUUGCAUUUUAAUAUAGCAGACAUACCACAGUGUUAUUAUUUCACCAGAUAACUAGAGACGUCAACAAAUGGCGCUUACGUCACUUUUCAGAAUCUUAGCAGCACGGUGGUAAGUUAAAAAGUGUGUUUAUGUUAAUAUAUUUUAAAUCAUACAUUUUGCAAAAGUUGUUCAACUAGCUUAAAGCAUCUAUUUGCAUCAGAAUUAUGAUAUUAUCUGUAUAUAGCUAAAGAUAAAUCAAGAAAAUUUGUCCAUUAUCUCUUAUAUAUUGUUUAUUUACCUUCAUUAUUGACAACUUCAAAUUUCUCAAAAUUACUCAAUAUUGGAAAAGAAUUUUGUUAAUUUCGUUAAUUUUAUACAGCUUUAUAACUUAGUAUUUACAGACGAGAGGCAUAAAUAACAUGAAAUAAUUUAUCAACUUCAUAUGAUGGAACAGACUGCCUGUAAUCGCAUAUCAGCACCUUAUUUGCUGAGUACCCAAUCCAAGUGGAAUUGAUAUGCGAUUAAAAGGCAGUAGAGUCAAUUUCAUCUUAAGCACUCAAUCUCGAAGAACUAAUCUGUGCAUAACGUUUACUAAAUAGUUAUGGUAUUAUUUUGAUUAUUUAUAGAUACUUUCUGCACUGGAAAAAUCGCAAAGAAAUCUAGAAAUAAAAAUUAAAAAAAAAGAUCAACCGGAAAAAGAAGUUGGAGAUAAGGAAGUAAUAUAAAAAUUACCAUUUUUAAAUUUCUAAUCUAUCUCAAUGAAAUAUGAACAAAACAAUCAAUCAAUUCGGUAACGCAAAUAUUCUUCAAAACUAUAGAAGAUUUAUAUAGAUAUUUUAUGUUUCAUCUUACUGUCAACUAUCACAAUGUUUGAUUCAUAACUAUCCACUAAAAUAUUGAUCUUUUAAACAAUAUUUAAAUACUGGUUAACAUCUCAACCACAUUUUCUACACCAAGCAAAUAUUUAACCAAAACUUGAUAAAACAUAUAAUUAAGAAUGUUUAUAUAUAAACAUUUUACCUCAUUUUGGGUAUCCAAGAUAAGUGCUUUUCUCUUGCUGUCAUAGUUUUAUAAUUGCUUUUCUAUAACAACUUUAUUGCCGUGCACAACAUAGUUGUACAAUGUCCUAUGGGAAUUCCUAUCAAUGUGGGACAACUAUGCUGCACACGACAAUUUCAUACGGUGCACUCUUCUUUCAAGUCUAGUUAGGCUGAUACAAAUUUAUUUUUGACUUUUUGUCUCCCCCCCCCCCUUCAAAAAUUUUUGGCUGGAAUUUGCAUUCUGAGGGGGCAGAUAAAAAAAUAUUUAUCAAAAUAUCGGGUCUUGCCAAAAAAUCUUUAACAAAUCCGAUGAGUUUUUAACAUUUUUCAAAUAAAAUGCUUUAUUAUUUUUAUUCCCUCCCCCCCCCCCCCUCGACCAGCCAAAGAGUGGUGGGACAAAAAGUGAAAUAAAUAUUUGUAACGGCCUUUAUUCGUGAAAAAUAAAAACAUUAUUGAGAGGAGGUUUGUUCAUAUUUCAAUCCUUUUGAAUCGUAUUAUAUAUAAUUAACCUUCUAUUUGAUUUUAAGGAAACAGAUAUCAUUGAAAUACAAAUGAUCGUUCGAAAUCUGCUCGAAAUGGCAGCAAAAAUUAUGAAUCGGUUGAACCAAAUGUCCAUAAGAAACAAAAAUAAUGUGAGAGAGAAGCUGGAAAGUAUAAUCAGCGAAAUUCGAAGAGCGUCAAAAAAAUAUAAAUAAACUAAUAUUUCCAAUAAAUAAAACAAUUAUGUUUUCAAUAAAUCUUCACUUUUCAAGUACUUUUUCUGAAUAGAUAGAGCAGUGAUCAUCAAACUGUAAAGGAUUUGUGCCACCAGCGAUCUGACUUCGUAAUACAUAUAUUUGAAUAUAACCCGCUAAAAGAUUGCAAAAACCAACAUUGUGCCAAUGAAACCCCUGUAAAGCAAAAAAUAAUAAUUCCUAAACAAAAGAAAAUGAACAAAAAGCUAUGCUAAAUCAGUAUAGUUAACUUUAAAAAUGAUUAAAUUUGUUUCAUUAAAGAACAUUUAGUUCUGACAAGUUUGAUGUAAGGUACACCGGGACAAGUUGAAACAACGGGUUAACGUGAUGUUAUCCAACGAUGGUGACCAGAUCAAAUGACAUAACACAUAGUUUUUAAUUCAAACAAUCUUUUGGCGAAAGACACAUUUCUAGAAAGUAUUGAAAACUAUUUCAAAACUUCGCGUUUCAUCUUGCCCCACCCGUUUCAACUUGCCCCGGUGUACCUUAAGUUUUCUCUCAACACUGAAUUUUGUGUUCCAUGACAAAUUUACCUUUGGAUUUCCUUUGAAAUCUUAAUCCUGAAAAUUUUGAAAAUAUUUUGAAAGUAAUUUAAUACUACUAUAAAUAUCCUAUAUAUGUUUGACAUUGUUAUAACAUGAUUUUUACUUUAAUUUUUAAACUUUGUAACUCUAUAUACACUAAAUUACCAAAUUUACCACAGUAACUUAGUUCGUUACGAAGGCAUAAGUUUCUACAAAAUAAAUAUAUUAUGUUCUAAACGAAGAAUUUAGAUAAGGCUCUAGGAGCCUAUUGUGGCCCGCAUAGACAGUAAGCCUGAGGAAUUGAAAAAAAUGAAGUGAUUAUAUUGCGCAUUUCCCACCCACUGGACCCCUUUCGCAGUUAGUAUAAGUGCGGGAUCGUGAAUAAAACUGCGAUUUUGCAUCGAAUCGUGUCGGUGUCUUCUGCGAACUUAUGCAUUACAAGGUGCUGAACAAGUGCGCAGAACCGAAACGCCAUCAAAUACUGUUCAUAUUUAUUUGCACAAUUUUUAUGUUCAAAUAAAAAAAAACUCGAUUUUUUUGUACAACACUUUAACUGCGGAACGUUUUAAAGAACUAGAUCAAACUUAACAUAAAUGCUAUAACUAAUCGGCAAAGAAAAAUGUGAAACAGUGUUUUAAUUAUUUGAUAACUUAAUAACAUUUGAACUGGUUGAAGAGACAUUUAUGUAAAUCAUAUUUCAGCGUCUUGUAAAUCUCAUCGAGAAACAAUUGCUAUUAAUCAACCAGCUCACAGAGAAAAAUCCCGCAGAUCAGCUAUUACAACAUGAGCAGAAAUUGAAGAAUAUGCUGCAGGAAAUUUACAACAGUGACGAAGAGGUGUGUCCCAAUCAGGAACACUUUGUUCUAUUAACCAAGGUAAAAUUUCAAAUAUUACUAUUCACACGAUAUUCACCAAUAGUGUGCCAAAUGAAAACAUUUAAACUUUAUAAUCUAUCAUGUUUCAGGAACACAAUAUCCAACAACUAGCUGUAAGUAAAAACAAAAAUUAAAUAUUUUGUUCAAAUGAACAAUGUUAUUAUCUUCUACAGCGCGCUAGAGUGCUGGAAGAUCUAAUGAAAGAGUUGCAUAUUUAUGUGGACAGCAUUGAAGAAACUCCACCAACCCGGAUGGUAACAUCCUUUUUAUUAUAUAUUUAUUUUUGUAAUUUUAUGUCAUUAUCUUUACUAUACUAAAAAUGUAUAUUCUAUAACCAAGCAAAAGCAUUAGAAAUUAAUUAACUGCCGUAACUAUCACUUAUGCUCAAAAAUUAGUCUUAUGAGUAAAACAAGCGUUAUUCUAUGCAUUCAAUUCUCCAUUAAUAUGAACCUUAUAUGAUCCUGGAAAAGCAUACCAUAUUAAAAAGAAGAAAAAAGUAUUGUUUUUGCAAGGUUUAAUUAAUUACUCAAAGUUUUCACUUAUAAUUGUAAAUUUUGAUUAAUUAUUUAAUUGAUAAAGGUGAGUGAGUUGUAUUAAUGACUAAUGAUGAAAUUCUCAAAUAAUGUGAUCAAUAAUAACGUAUUAAAAUUAGUAAUUUUAACCAUUGAUCAUAAUAAAUUUACAAUUCAUUAAUAAACCUUUCAAACUAACACUACUAAAUGUUGAUGUUGAAUCAACCCUACUAAGAGCCGAUGAUGCAAAAUGCCGUUGUUCACUUGAAGAAUCCAUUAAAACCCAAUUUAAUUCAUAACCAUGGAUUAUUAAAAAACAAUAGUAUUUUGCUUAAUAUGGUUAAUGGGUGUGAAAAUGUUUUAGAAACGUGAAAUUUAUUCAUUAUUUCAUUGUUUUGCAGUCGAAGCAUAUGUUCUUGAUAAAGGCGAAACAAUAUCAGCUUCUGCAAAAAAGCAAAAACAUAUUGAAGUCGAAACGCAAUCCAACAGCUAAAGCUAACAUUCGGCAAAAAAUUUACGAGACGCAUAUGAGUGCUGUGGAAGCGCUUGAAGAGCUGCUGCGACGUUAAUUAAAAAAAUCUCCAGAACUUUUUGUCGUUUGUUUUUUCAUUAGUUGAAGCUUUCAUUAUUAAAAAUUAAACAAAACGGAAUUGUGCUUUUGUUUGUUGUCAAAAUUGGAAAUUCUCUUAACUUACAGAAGUGUUGAGCAUAUCCAUGGAAUAUUGGACGAAAUAGUGCUCAUUGACCGAUGUAAAUUAAAAAUAUUCAAUAUUGUUUGUUUUAAUUGGCUUUUAUCGAUGAAUUACAAAGCUGUGAAGAAAUUAUAAGAAAAGUUGCAUGUAUUAUCUCUUCGUAACGCGAAGGAAACAUUUAUUCAUAAAAAAAAACGAGUAAAGUGUUUGCAUUCUAUGGCAGAUACGUAUUUUGACCUCAACUGUAUCAAGACAAUGACAAAAUGUCGAAAGACAAAACGUCGAAACGUGAAAGAACGAGCGUCAUUAACGAGAAUAAGGAAUCAUUUGCUUAAAUUACUCGUUUUCAACGUGUUGUCCUUUUUUUGGCAUUCAACGUUUUAUUUUUCGACGUUUUGUCGCUAAGCCUCCAUCUACAUAUAUAUGAACAUUUAAAAAUUAUUAUUAAGAAACAUUUUAUUUUCUUGGAAUGAGAAAUUUUCAACAAUUUUAAAACAAAACUAACAUAUGAUUUUCUAAUUAUUCCAUUAUUCUGAACCCUUUUGAAUUUGA